rnacentral:rRNA from 1 species
AUUGAACGCUGGCGGCAGGCCUAACACAUGCAAGUCGAACGAGAGGAGGACGGGUGAGCAAUGUCUGGGAAAGUGCCUGAUGGAGGGGGAAAACGACGGGAAAAGGUGGCUAAUACCGCAUACCAUGGGAUGGGCCCAGAUGGGAUUAGCUAGUGGGUGGGGUAAAGGCUCACCUAGGCGACGAUCCCUAGCUGGUCUAAGAGGAUGACCAGCCACACUGGAACUGAGACACGGUCCGGACUCCUACGGGAGGCAGCAGUGGGGAAUAUUGGGCAAUGGGCGAAAGUCUGACGCAGCCAUGCCGCGUGUAUGAAGAAGGCUUUCGGGUUGUAAAGCACUUUCGUCGGGGAGGCGUUACCCGCAGAAGAAGCACCGGCUAACUCCGUGCCAGCAGCCGCGGUAAUUC